AGAAUAGUAAACACCAGAGUGGAGGCUUGAAUGGCUUCCAUAAGGCUCAUAUAUUUGAGUGUCGGUCUUUGCAGCUGUAAUACCACCUUUGAUAUUACUACCAAGGUGGGUCACUGUGAUGGUUUGAAUAUUCUUGGCCAGGAAGUGGCAGUAUUAGGAGGUUUUGUUGGUAUAGUUGUGGCCUUGUUGGAGGAAGUGUGUCACUGUGGGAGUGGGCAAUGAGGCCCUGCUCCGAGCUGCCUGGACACAGUCUGCUCCUGGCUUCCUUUGGAUGAAGAUGCGGAACUUCUCCAGCACCAUGCCAGCCUGGACACCUCCAUGCUGCCCACCAUGAUGAUAAUAGACUGAACCUAAGAACCCAUAAGCCAGCCCCAACUAAAUGUUGUGUUUUGUAAGAGUUGCCUUGGUUAUGGUGUCUCUUCACAGCAAUGGAAACCCUAACUAAGACACUGUACUACUGGAUGUGACAAGCAAGAAUGCUAGGUGUUAUAGAGGCUGAACAUACCUGCCCAGUGUACUGAUUCAUUUUUGUGUGUCGACUUGACACAAGCUGGAGUUAUCACAGAGAAAGGAGCCUCCCUUGAGGAAAUGCCUCCAUGAGAUCCAGCUGUAAGGAGGUACCACUGGACAUAGAAAGCAAAUGGAGAGACAUGGCAAGGAGAAAGGAUGUCAGUACUGAAGCUACUGCUAAGAGCCAAGAAAGGGGCUGGAAAGAGGACUCAGCUGUCAAGAACACUUGCUUCCUUCCAGACAACUCAGGUUCAACUCCCAGAAUCUUCGUAGGGGCUCACAACUGUGUGAACCUCCAGUCCCAGGGGGGAAUCUGAAACCUCUUCUGGUCUGUGCAAGCACCAGGCACAAAAGUGGUACACAGAUACACACAGAAGCUAAACACCCAUACACAUAAAAUAAAAAUGUAAAAAGGAUGAAUUAAGAGUCCUGUAAACACCACAGGAAGAUGAUGCUCAGAGCCCCCGAGUACCUGACUGUUCUUGCCAUGGAUUCAUGGGACAGAACCAGGUAAUAUCCAGUAUGUAAGAACUUGAGCAUAGUAGAUACUCAGAAUGUGAGUUUGUCGUUGAUUUGUCAUUGAUUUAAAAACAAAUAGAAACAGGACAAUGUGUGAGCGUAAACACCUACGUGACAGGCAAGUCGGACAUUGAUUGUUGGUACAACCAUGUGCAAGAGUCGCUUGGCUACUUUCACUUCCUAUAAACUGUGUUAUUAUAAGAAAACUUUAAUGGGAAAGAGAACCUGAGAUUUCCCACCAUGUAUUCCAAGAUUCAAAAGGAUAAUAGAAACCAGUACUUAGAGGUAA
rnacentral:lncRNA from 1 species